CGGGUGAGUAACGCGUGAGGAACCUGCCUCAAAGAGGGGGACAACAGUUGGAAACGACUGCUAAUACCGCAUAAGCUCACGGCUCGGCAUCGAGCAGAGGGAAAAGGAGUGAUCCGCUUUGAGAUGGCCUCGCGUCCGAUUAGCUGGUUGGUGAGGUAACGGCCCACCAAGGCGACGAUCGGUAGCCGGACUGAGAGGUUGAACGGCCACAUUGGGACUGAGACACGGCCCAG
rnacentral:rRNA from 1 species